rnacentral:rRNA from 1 species
AGUGAACGCUGGCGGUAGGCCUAACACAUGCAAGUCGAACGGCAGCACAGUAAGAGCUUGCUCUUACGGGUGGCGAGUGGCGGACGGGUGAGGAAUACAUCGGAAUCUACUUUUUCGUGGGGGAUAACGUAGGGAAACUUACGCUAAUACCGCAUACGACCUACGGGUGAAAGCAGGGGAUCUUCGGACCUUGCGCGAUUGAAUGAGCCGAUGUCGGAUUAGCUAGUUGGCGGGGUAAAGGCCCACCAAGGCGGCGAUCCGUAGCUGGUCUGAGAGGAUGAUCAGCGACACUGGAACUGAGACACGGUCCAGACUCCUACGGGAGGCAGCAGUGGGGAAUAUUGGACAAUGGGCGCAAGCCUGAUCCAGCCAUACCGCGUGGGUGAAGAAGGCCUUCGGGUUGUAAAGCCCUUUUGUUGGGAAAGAAAAGCAGCAGGUUAAUACCCCGCUGUUCUGACGGUACCCAAAGAAUAAGCACCGGCUAACUUCGUG